rnacentral:lncRNA from 1 species
GGAAAAAGUAGAUGUGCUUUGCUUGUCUUGAUGAACUAAACUUUACUAUGUAAACCAGUCACACAGAAGAAGGCUAAUCCGUAACAUCCAUACUCACACACAGAAGUCAGAAGGAAGAAAUGGAAUGGCAAUGAAUUACCAGCCUCCAGUGACUGCAGCGAGCCGUCAUCAGUGUGUAGACCAACAGAAAUUCAAAUCAAGAGGAGGGAGAGAGACCAGUGAAAAUCCUAUUCUGCUUGCAGACUUCUUUUCCUGAACUGCUUCUGGGUUAUGCUAUGACUGCAACUGUAUUCAUGAGGAGGAAAUAAAAAUUUCAUUGUUAACCUCAAAAUGAUUUCACAAGGGUUCAGCGAAAUGGAGAUGUUAAGGGAAUUAAACAAACCGCGU